CCAGGACCCAAUCUGGUAAAUUUCUGGUCAGCACUGGUCUGGAGAUCUAUAACCUAAAAAUUCAGAGUAGAGCACCUUGGGAACUCUUCUUUUUGGAACUGUCAUAGAACAAACUUAACGGUUGUUGUUCUUCCAGUAGGACCCCUGGGCAGAAAAUAGCUCACCAUGAGGAUCAGCUCAACGUUAAGGAAUGCUCUGACACUGGACCCAAUUCCAGAACAAGGGACCCAUUCCAGAACAAGAGGCAUUUGGCCUCCCUCUUCCUGAAGUGCCUUUACCCUUCACUUGGCUCUUCCAGCUCAUUGACUCUGAGGAUCACCCUGGACAACAUGGAGAAAUAUAAUGGAACAAUUUUGAAAAUGGCCCCGAGCCUGACUUAAGGCUUAGGUACCAGAGGCGAAUGACAUGCCAUAGACACAGAAGAUGUUUAGAAUUACAAGUGGAGGAAUAUUCCAAGGCUGAGUAAGUAGAGUACAGAGGAAUUUUAAAUCACAGAUCAGCAGAUGGGCCCCUUUUCCUGACAGAAUAUCACAACACCCCCCCCCGCAGUAAAUCUGAGACUAGAUCAUCCUUUGAGGACCAGCUCAAGUGCGUGCCUUCACACCUUCUCCCCACUCGUCCCCAUCAAUGCUCUGCUCUGCAGACAAUUGUGAAAUUGCACUAAUAACCAAGGACAA
rnacentral:lncRNA from 1 species